CUGGAACCCCGGGAUGCCCCCACCAGUACAAACCAGUACGGACCAGUUUGGGUCAGUUUGGACCAGUCUGAACCAUUUUGGGUCACUUUGGACCAGUUUGGACCAGUUUGGGCCACCUUGGACCACUUAGGAUCAGUUUGGCCCAGUUUGGCCCAGUACGGACCAGUUUGGCCCAGUUUGGCCCAGUUUGGACUCGCAAUUCCCAGUUCCCUGGGCCAGUUUGGACCAGUCCAGACCAGUUUGGACCCAGAAUUCCCAGUUCCCCUGGACCAGUCCAGACCAGUUUGGCCCAGUUUGGCCCAGUUGCCCUGGACCAGUUUGGCCCAGUUUGGACCCAGAAUUCCCAGUUCCCUGGACCAGUUUGGACCAGUUUGGACCAGUCCAGACCAGUCUGGACCAGUUUGGGCCCAGAAUUCCCAGUUCCCCUGGACCAGUCCGGACCAGUUUGGCCCAGUUUGGCCCAGUUUGGCCCAGUUCCCCUGGACCAAUCCAUUCCCAGUCCAUCCCAGUCCAUCCCAGUCCAUCCCAGUUACCGAACGCCAGGGGGGAGGGGGGGGCUGGGAUCAUUGGGAGCCCCCCCGGGACCGCCCAGGCCCCGCCCCCUUUAACA
rnacentral:lncRNA from 1 species